rnacentral:lncRNA from 1 species
UUAAUUCAUAAGAAACCAUGUAAGAUUUGCCAAUGGUUGUAUUGUACAUUUUUCGGAUUGCUUAGUUAUGAAAGAUUCAUGUCAUAAAUCCAGGAGGUGGCAACACAAAUGCAGAAAAGGAUCUCUACGUAGUAUUCUUUGUUUGACAAAAAAACAAAAGAUGCAGAAGGGAAUGACGAGGAAAGAAACUAGCUGAUUCUAAGGACUCCGCGUAAAUUGACUUCCGACUGAUAAACUUUUGAGAUUUUUAAUUUUCAUGCGAUUGAAUGUUAUCUUUUUGUCCAACAUCAUGGGAUAUAUAUGUUUACUUAGAAAGAUUUAUAAACCUUUCAAUCCUAAUUUUGGAGACAUGUG